rnacentral:rRNA from 1 species
GAUGAACGCUGGCGGCGUGCCUAACACAUGCAAGUCGAGCGAACAGAUGAGGAGCUUGCUCCUCUGACGUUAGCGGCGGACGGGUGAGUAACACGUGGAUAACCUACCUAUAAGACUGGGAUAACUUCGGGAAACCGGAGCUAAUACCGGAUAAUAUAUUGAACCGCAUGGUUCAAUAGUGAAAGACGGUUUUGCUGUCACUUAUAGAUGGAUCCGCGCCGCAUUAGCUAGUUGGUAAGGUAACGGCUUACCAAGGCAACGAUGCGUAGCCGACCUGAGAGAGUGAUCGGCCACACUGGAACUGAGACACGGUCCAGACUACUACGGGAGGCAGCAGUAGGGAAUCUUCCGCAAUGGGCGAAAGCCUGACGGAGCAACGACGCGUGAGUGAUGAAGGUCUUCGGAUCGUAAAACUCUGUUAUUAGGGAAGAACAAAUGUGUAAGUAACUAUGCACGUAUUGACGGUACCUAAUCAGAAAGCCACGGCUAACUACGUG